CCUACGGGCGGCUGCAGUGGGGAAUAUUGGACAAUGGGGGCAACCCUGAUCCAGCCAUGCCGCGUGUGUGAAGAAGGCCCUCGGGUUGUAGAGCACUUUCAGUGAGGAAGAACGCCUGGUGGUUAAUACCCAUCAGGAAAGACAUCACUCACAGAAGAAGCACCGGCUAACUCCGUGCCAGCAGCCGCGGUAAUACGGAGGGUGCGAGCGUUAAUCGGAAUUACUGGGCGUAAAGCGCGCGUAGGUGGCUUGAUAAGCCGGUUGUGAAAGCCCCGGGCUCAACCUGGGAACGGCAUCCGGAACUGUCAAGCUAGAGUGCAGGAGAGGAAGGUAGAAUUCCCGGUGUAGCGGUGAAAUGCGUAGAGAUCGGGAGGAAUACCAGUGGCGAAGGCGGCCUUCUGGACUGACACUGACACUGAGGUGCGAAAGCGUGGGUAGCAAACAGGAUUAGAUACCCUAGUAGUC
rnacentral:rRNA from 1 species